AUUGAACGCUGGCGGCAGGCCUAACACAUGCAAGUCGAGCGGAUGAAGGGAGCUUGCUCCUGGAUUCAGCGGCGGACGGGUGAGUAAUGCCUAGGAAUCUGCCUGGUAGUGGGGAUAACGUCCGGAAACGGGCGCUAAUACCGCAUACGUCCUGAGGGAGAAAGUGGGGGAUCUUCGGACCUCACGCUAUCAGAUGAGCCUAGGUCGGAUUAGCUAGUUGGUGGGGUAAAGGCCUACCAAGGCGACGAUCCGUAACUGGUCUGAGAGGAUGAUCAGUCACACUGGAACUGAGACACGGUCCAGACUCCUACGGGAGGCAGCAGUGGGGAAUAUUGGACAAUGGGCGAAAGCCUGAUCCAGCCAUGCCGCGUGUGUGAAGAAGGUCUUCGGAUUGUAAAGCACUUUAAGUUGGGAGGAAGGGCAGUAAGUUAAUACCUUGCUGUUUUGACGUUACCAACAGAAUAAGCACCGGCGAACUGCGU
rnacentral:rRNA from 1 species